UUUGCUUUGUCCCCGACACUUUACUCCGACUGUAGAGUCACCAUCUUCCUCAUCAAUAAUCAAAGGCUAAAAACCCCAUCCUUGCUUAAUUUCUGUUUAAUUUGUUUCUUCUUUCCUUUUUGGGGCCCCAAGAUUUUGGCUUGCUAAAUAAUCAGAAUAAAUUUGGGUUUGUCAUUCUUUCCUUUCCUUUUCUUUGCACAUGUUUUGUCAACAAUUUCUGUACUUUAGUUUAAAUAUUAUACUUUUUUCUUUUUUAAUCUUUGGAAUAGUAAACAACCUAUUAUUUUCCUCUAAUGUGUGAUCUUUAUUCGAUUUUAUAUAAUUCAAUUUAAAAUUUUGGGUUCUGUCCAUCAAUUUCCCCUUUGCUCUUCAUAUAAUGCAUGAGCAUUAAAAUCCUUUUAUCUUUGUUUUAAAAUUUCAUUUUGGAUCGCUCCGGUAGCACUUAGAAUGUUAGAAAUUUGCUGAAGAGUUCCUAUUAUAGAUAACCUCAUGGUUCACUUAUCCUGCCUAUAGGUAGACAUGGUGGUGACAAGGUGAUUUAUGCAGUUGGGUGAAAAGAUUCAAUAUAUUGAGUUAUCGAUAAGAGCCGAUACAAUGCAGAACAUGGAGGAAAGAAAACAUAGCAGCACCUUUAUGGUGCAUUUUCUGCCAUUAUUUGGUCCAAAAUAAAUGAAAAAUGCCCAAGUGUUAUUCUGCAAAAUUUUGUCUGUACCUGUAGCAUAACUGGGGAGGAAAUGUUGACACAAUUGAUGUUUUGAUCUCAAUUGCACAGUAGACCAAAACUACAGGUAUGUGGAGUACAUAAGUUUUUGUGAUAGUGGAUUGUUUCCAAUAGGAGUA
rnacentral:lncRNA from 1 species